rnacentral:rRNA from 1 species
UACGGAGGUGGCAAGCGUUGCUCGGAAUCAUUGGGCGUAAAGAGCGCGUAGGCGGCCAGAUAAGUCCGGUGUGAAAGUCAAAGGCUCAACCUUUGAAUGCCGCUGGAAACUGUCUGGCUAGAGUCCGGAAGGGCGAGUGGAAUUCCCGGUGUAGCGGUGAAAUGCGCAGAUAUCGGGAAGAACACCCGUGGCGAAGGCGGCUCUCUGGGACGGUACUGACGCUGAGACGCGAAAGCGUGGGGAGCGAACAGG